rnacentral:RNase_P_RNA from 1 species
AAAUGUGAGGAAAGUCCGCGCUCCAUAGAGCAGGGAUGCUGGUUAACGACCAGUGGGGGCGACCCCAAGGCAAGUGCAACAGAGAUAUACCGCCAUAAUGGUAAGGGUGGAAAGGCGAGGUAAGAGCUCACCAGAUUAUUAGUGAUAAUAAUGCUAUGUAAACCCCAUUCGGAGCAAGACCAAAUAGGAAUAACAGAUGUUGCUCGCAUCUGCCGGUAGGUAGGUUGCUAAAGAUUAUAGGCGACUAUAAUUUAAGAUUGAUAGUUGAUUAAACAGAACGCGGCUUAUAGAUUUGCUUA